rnacentral:snRNA from 1 species
CAAGACUUACAGACCAAUUAAGG